rnacentral:rRNA from 1 species
UACGUAGGAUGCAAGCGUUGUCCGGAAUUAUUGGGCGUAAAGAGCGCGCAGGCGGUAUGACAAGUCAGAUGUGAAAGAGGCCGGCUUAACCGGCAAGGGUCAUUUGAAACUGUCAGACUAGAGUGCAGCAGAGGAUAGUGGAAUUCCCGGUGUAGUGGUGAAAUGCGUAGAUAUCGGGAGGAACACCAGUGGCGAAGGCGAUCACCUGGGGUUGUUCUGACGCUGAGGAGCGAAAGCUAGGGGAGCAAACGGG